AAUUAUAGGUUCAAACCCUUUACGACUUA
rnacentral:tRNA from 1 species